rnacentral:rRNA from 2 species
GUCUUUUUGAGUUAUUUUUAAAGUCUGACCUGCCCACUGAAUAUUUUUAAAUGGCCGCAGUAUUCUAACUGUGCAAAGGUAGCAUAAUCAUUAGUCUUUUAAUUGAAGGCUGGUAUGAACGGUUGGACGAAGUAUAAGCUGUUUCAUAUAAAAUUAUAUUAGAAUUUUAUAUUUUAGUUAAAAAGCUAAAAUAUUAUUAAAAGACGAGAAGACCCUAUAAAUCUUUAUAUUUAAUAUUAUUCAAAUUUUUUUGAUUAAUUUUAUUUUUAUAAUAUUAAAUAUUUUGUUGGGGUGAUAUUAAAAUUUAAUAAACUUUUAAUUUUGAAUUAGAACAUUAAUUUAUGAAUAGUUGAUCCAUUAUUAAUGAUUAUAAGAUUAAGUUACUUUAGGGAUAACAGCGUAAUUUUUUUUGAGAGUUCAUAUCGACAAAAAAGUUUGCGACCUCGAUGUUGGAUUAAGAUAUAUAUUUAGGUGUAGCCGUUUAAAUAUUAAGUCUGUUCGACUUUUAAAUUCUUACAUGAUCUGAGUUCAAACCGGAGA